rnacentral:tRNA from 1 species
GCGAUAGUAGCUCAGUUGGUAGAGCAUCAGCUUCCCAAGCUGAGGGUCGCGGGUUCGAGCCCCGUCUAUCGCU